ACUCUUCUGAUUCCUUACCCAUUCAGAUCUGAACAUGGGUCUCAGUGGCUAUAAAGGGAGGAAAAGUAAAGAGAAUCCAAGUGGACUUGGAUUCUUUUGUAACAUAUAAAUUGCUUUCAAACAAAC
rnacentral:snoRNA from 1 species